AGCUUGCUAGGUGGAAGGAGAGGCGAACGGGUGAGUAAUACAUAAGCAACCUGCCACGAAGACUGGGAUAAUCCUGGAAACGAGGACUAAUACCGGAUAGGUUACGAAUUCGCAUGAAUUUGUAAUUAAAGGUUAGAAACACUGGUGGAUGGGCUUAUGGUGCAUUAGCUAGUUGGUGAGGUAACGGCCCACCAAGGCGAUGAUGCAUAGCCGGGCUGAGAGGCUGAACGGCCCACAUUGGGACUGAGACACGGCCCAGACUCCUACGGGAGGCAGCAGUAGCGAAUUUUCGGCAAUGGGCGGAAACCCUGACCGAGCAACGCCGCGUGAGUGAUGAAGGUCUUCGGAUUGUAAAGCUCUGUUGUAAGGGAAGAGUGAAUUGGAUAGAAUCCGAUUGUGACGGUACCUUACCAGAAAGCUACGGCUAACUACGUGCCAGCAGCCGCGGUAAUACGUAGGUAGCGAGCGUUAUCCGGAAUUAUUGGGCGUAAAGGGUGCGUAGGCGGCUUGUUAAGUUUAAGGUGAAAGAAUGGGGCUCAACCCCAUAAAGCCUUAGAUACUGGCAAGCUAGAGUACUGGAGAGGGUAGUGGAAUUCCAUGUGUAGCGGUAAAAUGCGUAGAUAUAUGGAGGAACACCGGUGGCGAAGGCGGCUACCUAGACAGAGACUGACGCUGAGGCACGAAAGCGUGGGGAGCAAAUAGGAUUAGAUACCCUAGUAGUCCACGCCGUAAACGAUGAAUGCUAGAUAUCGGGGCAACUCGGUGUCGAAACUAACGCGAUAAGCAUUCCGCCUGUGGAGUAUGCACGCAAGUGUGAAACAUAAAGGAAUUGACGGGGGCCCGCACAAGCGGUGGAGUAUGUGGUUUAAUUCGACGCAACGCGAAGAACCUUACCAGGCCUUGACAUCCCAUGCAAAACUCUAGAGAUAGAGCA
rnacentral:rRNA from 1 species